UUCAAUGCCACUCUAUUCCCAAACAUAUUUGUUUGGUAUGCAUAUCCAAGCAAUAUUAGCUAAAGGGAGUACACAAAGAAGGACACCAUUUUUUCCCUCCCACUCCCCAUCUGUCGUGGAAAACACACAGGUUUUCCUCCACAGGUUGAAAAGAACCUUAUGUCCUUGGAGGACAGACUUACAGUGCAUUGCAACAACAGUGUGAACCUUCUUCCUACUCCUCAACCCACAGUCCUGUUUUGAAGGCUGCAUUCUGAGAAUAGGCUUCACCAUGAUGCUGUUGGAACAUAAGCUACCAUGUUAAACAAGCAUGGCAUGAGGCUGACUAAUCCUGGUGAACUGUGUGGUUAAAUAGCUGCUCCUUAGAAGCAGUAGUGAUUACAAGCCUUGUCCAGCACUACGAAUCAGAAUGUCUUCCCUCUUCUUUUGAAGCUGUCUGUUAAGAAGAUGUGAGUCUUCACCUCAAAGGGCUCUUGAAACGCUGCUAAUUACAAGGGGAUAAUGAGAACUCACCAAUGGAGACCACCUCAAUUAAACAAAAAUCAGUUUAUAUUGAUACAGCAAUUAAUUAUAUAUGACAGAAUAAUUGAAGAAGUUUUCCUUGUGUAUUCAUAGAGAACCUAAACUUAUAUGAAAUUAAGUAUUAGUUGUGGAGCAUUUAAUGAAGAUUAAAAUGAAUUUCAGCUGUAGACUUUAUACAAAAUUUAAAAAAUAAAUUAAGUGGUA
rnacentral:lncRNA from 1 species